rnacentral:rRNA from 1 species
UGAGUAACACGUGAGUGACCUGCCUUUUAGACUGGAACAACUUACCGAAAGGUGAGCUAAUGCCGGAUGAGUUAUAUAAGUGCAUGUUUAUAUAGGAAAGGUUGGGGAGACCUGACGCUGAAAGGUGGACUCGCGUCCCAUUAGCUAGUUGGUAGGGUAAUGGCCUACCAAGGCGACGAUGGGUAGCCGGCCUGAGAGGGUGGCCGGCCACACUGGGACUGAGACACGGCCCAGACUCCUACGGAAGGCAGCAG